AUUGAACGCUGGCGGCAGGCCUAACACAUGCAAGUCGAGCGGAGCGGCGGACGGGUGAGUAAUACCUAGGAAUCUGCCUGGUCGUGGGGGAUAACGUCCGGAAAUGGGCGCUAAUACCGCAUACUAUCAGCAGAGCCUAGGGCGGAAUAGCUAGGUGGUGGGGUAAAGGCCAACCAAGGCGACGAUCCCUAACUGGUCUGAGAGGAUGACCAGUCACACUGGAACUGAGACACGGUCCAGACUCCUACGGGAGGCAGCAGUGGGGAAUAUUGGACAAUGGGCGAAAGCCUGAUGCAGCCAUGCCGCGUGUAUGAAGAAGGCCUUCGGAUUGUAAAGUACUUUAAGUUGGGAGGCGUUACCAACAGAAGAAGCACCGGCUAACUUCGUGCCAGCAGCCGCGGUAAUAC
rnacentral:rRNA from 1 species